CCCACAGAUGGGGGAUCCCAACAGCGUGGACCCUCGGUUAGCAGAGAUCGCCCACAACAUUGAGAAACUGCAGGCGGAGGCACAGAAAUUUGAGGGCUGGUUAGCGGAGGUCGAAGGAAGGAUGCCGGUAAAGAGUGACCCUCCGAAGAGGACGAGUGUUCUAUACGAGACCCAAAACAGCACACCACCCACCAACAACAACUGCGCACAGGAUAGAGAGAGUCCGGAUGGCAGU